AAUGAACGUUGGCGGCAUGGAUUAGGCAUGCAAGUCGAGCGAGAAGAGUUUUGAAGCUUGCUUUAGAACUCGGACAGCGGCGAAGGGGAGAGUAACGCGUAGUUAUGUGCCCUAGGGUCCGGAAUAGCCACGGGAAACUGUGGGUAAUGCCGGAUAACAUCCCCGGAUCAAAGGUGUGAUUCCGCCCUAGGAGCAGACUGCGUCCUACUAGCUAGUUGGUGGGGUAAUGGCCCACCAAGGCAAUGAUGGGUAGCGGGUGUGAGAGCAUGACCCGUCUCACUGGGACUGGGACACUGCCCACACACGAACGGGUGGCUGCAGUCGAGAAUCGUCGGCAAUGGGCGAAAGCCUGACCGAGCGAUGCCGCGUGCGGGAUGAAGGCCCUCGGGUUGUAAACCGCUGUCGUAGGGGAGGAAGGUUCCGUGAAGAGCGGAAUUUGACCUAUCCUAGGAGGAAGUACGGGCUAAGUUCGUGCCAGCCGCCGCGGUAA
rnacentral:rRNA from 1 species